GACGAACGCUGGCGGCGUGCUUAACACAUGCAAGUCGAACGGUAAGGCCCCAGCUUGCUGGGGUACACGAGUGGCGAACGGGUGAGUACACGGUGGGUAACCUGCCCCGCACUUCGGGAUAAGCCUGGGAAACUGGGUCUAUUACCGGAUAGGCCCGCACCGGGAGGGGGGGGGGGAAAGUUUUUCGGUGUGGGAUGGGCCCGCGGCCUAUCAGCUUGUUGGUGGGGUAUUGGCUUACCAAGGCGGCGACGGGUAGCCGGCCUGAGAGGGUGGACGGCCACAUUGGGACUGAGACACGGCCCAGACUCCUACGGGAGGCAGCAGUGGGGAAUAUUGCACAAUGGGCGGAAGCCUGAUGCAGCGACGCCGCGUGGGGGAUGACGGCCUUCGGGUUGUAAACUCCUUUCACCAUCGACGAAGGUUUUCUGACGGUAGAUGGAGAAGAAGCACCGGCUAACUACGUG
rnacentral:rRNA from 1 species